rnacentral:rRNA from 1 species
AGAGUUUGAUCAUGGCUCAGAUUGAACGCUGGCGGCAGGCCUAACACAUGCAAGUCGAACGGUAACAGGAAGCAGCUUGCUGCUUUGCUGACGAGUGGCGGACGGGUGAGUAAUGUCUGGGAAACUGCCCGAUGGAGGGGGAUAACUACUGGAAACGGUAGCUAAUACCGCAUAACGUCGCAAGACCAAAGAGGGGGACCUUCGGGCCUCUUGCCAUCGGAUGUGCCCAGAUGGGAUUAGCUAGUAGGUGGGGUAACGGCUCACCUAGGCGACGAUCCCUAGCUGGUCUGAGAGGAUGACCAGCCACACUGGAACUGAGACACGGUCCAGACUCCUACGGGAGGCAGCAGUGGGGAAUAUUGCACAAUGGGCGCAAGCCUGAUGCAGCCAUGCCGCGUGUAUGAAGAAGGCCUUCGGGUUGUAAAGUACUUUCAGCGGGGAGGAAGGGAGUAAAGUUAAUACCUUUGCUCAUUGACGUUACCCGCAGAAAAAG